GGAGAUACCAACGUUCAUCUACGAGGCAAGGCUAAUCGAUGCUAGGCAAGGAAAGAAUUGGCGUCCUAAUCUGAGGGGAAAGGAGGCAGCCGGGUGGGGAUUUUGAUCCAAGUUUCAGAGUUGAGGUGUUUGGGGCAAGAAAAAAAAUUCAGCCGAUCCGUUGACCGGAGCUGCUGCCGCUCGUAACAAAAGGUUCAUCCCCGGCGGCGGCGGUCCGAUUCGAGACCUCGAGGCGGUUGCCCAGGCCGGCGGCGUUAAUAGGCGAAGGAGGAGUCUGCGGCCAGUGCCAAUGAUUUCAUUCACACCGUGGUAGCAGAUCAGUCCAUCUUUUCCUUUCUAUUCUAUUGUACUCUACAUGGAGCUGCUACGUGCUGAAACAUUUCAUGUUGUCAGUGUGCGCGGUGCUCUUCUUUGGUGCUGAUACAGUACGGGCUGGUCUUACGGGUGGUGGCAGCCCCUGCUGUGUACGCUGGUCAGUGCAAGCAAAAGAAGAGUCCCAUCUGGACAGAAACAGUGAAGCACCACAUCGCUAAGCUAACAUGCCGUCAGAUACAUAGCAUUCCUUAUGUCUUAUUUUGACUGUUAGUUUCGGAGAACCAAUUCCGGAGUAACUACAAGGAAGAAGAUGUGGAGAAGCUUGCGAGAAAGCUAGCUGACGUGCAGCUUGAGGUCGACAAAUUGAAGGCAGAGAACAAGAUGUUGCAUACAAAUCACAUAGAAGAUAUGAGAAAUAGGGAUAACAAAGAAAUGGCUUUCCUCUGUGUAGUUGGUAGUUGUGUAAUGUUGUAUGCAUGUAUGUCUAUAAUGAGUGCAGUUUACCUGAAUAUAUUGUAAAUGCUGGGCUUGUUCUAUUGCUGAAUAUAAUGAUUAUUUCAAAAUUUGCUGAACCUGAGCAAUCGAAGUGCACAA